ensembl:lncRNA
GUUGAACACGCAUCUUGGGGAGGGCCCGAGGAACAGUCGGGAGUGAAAAAAGAAAUAAGAUAACUAGCCGAAGAUUCCAAGAACCAGGUCUAAAAGGAGAAUGUGGAUUCUGGCUUCCAUGUUCAGGUGACUUUGAGUUUGGGAGAAGACCCAGAAAGAGCCAUGGGAAGUGCAGAAAGUGGGAACUGCUCCUGCUUACCUGGCCAGCUAAGAUGUCCUACUACGGUUAAGACCGAAAUCGCUCAGCAGCCACACGUUUCAAAUUGAGAUGUUUCUACAGAGCUAUGCUGAAGCCCAAUGAGGCACCGGCUUGCAUCUAGAAGUCACUUCUGCAUAUCCUGGGAACACAGAAAUGGUUGGCUGCCAGAGGUGGCAGCACCAACACAGGACUGCUGUCCAGAUCCCGUAACCUGGGACUUGAGAAAUUCCAUCAUGGGCACUCAAGCUUGGUAAACAGCUCCAGCUUUGGAGGCAACAAGGGCAGGUUUGAGUCCCAUAUCUGCCCUUAGCUGUGUGACCUUGAGCAAACCAUUUAAGCUCUUUUGAGUCUGUUUCUUUACCCAUAAUAAUAGUCCCUACAAUAAGGUAAAUGCUUGAUAAGUGGCAGACACUGAUGUCCCUGCCCUCGGUGAGAAGAUUAAACAGCAUAGUUCCCUUAUUCUUUUAUCACUCUUAUUUUGUGCCUUUUCCCCCCUCUUUCAAGAGCACCCCUGAUGCUUAUUUCAAAUGAGCAUGUAGGUAAACACUGGGCUGGGG